rnacentral:rRNA from 1 species
AUUGAACGCUGGCGGCAUGCCUUACACAUGCAAGUCGAACGGCAGCACGGGAGCAAUCCUGGUGGCGAGUGGCGAACGGGUGAGUAAAGUAUCGGAACGUGCCCAGUCGUGGGGGAUAACGUAGCGAAAGUUACGCUAAUACCGCAUACGAUCUAUGAAUGAAAGCGGGGGAUCGCAAGACCUCGCGCGAUUGGAGCGGCCGAUAUCAGAUUAGGUAGUUGGUGGGGUAAAGGCCCACCAAGCCGACGAUCUGUAGCUGGUCUGAGAGGACGACCAGCCACACUGGGACUGAGACACGGCCCAGACUCCUACGGGAGGCAGCAGUGGGGAAUUUUGGACAAUGGGCGAAAGCCUGAUCCAGCCAUGCCGCGUGCAGGAUGAAGGCCUUCGGGUUGUAAACUGCUUUUGUACGGAACGAAAAGGACUGCCCUAAUACGGUGGUCCCAUGACGGUACCGUAAGAAUAAGCACCGGCUAACUACGUGCCAGCAGCCGCGGUAA